rnacentral:sRNA from 1 species
GCAAACGCAAAUUUAAAUCCGCACAUGCACCGUCACGGACAGCGGGGUGCCUCAUGAGAAUGGGGUUGCUGCUCUGGGGUGUAUGGAGGCCCAACC